rnacentral:rRNA from 1 species
GACGAACGCUGGCGGCGUGCUUAACACACGCAAGUCGAACGAUGAAGCCGGAGCUUGCUCUGGUGAAUUAGUGGCGAACGGGUGAGUAACACGUGAGUAACCUGCCCUUGACUCUGGGAUAACUGCGGGAAACUGUAGCUAAUACCGGAUACGAUCCUCGGAGGCAUCUCCUGGGGGUGGAAAGAAUUUCGGUCAAGGAUGGACUCGCGGCCUAUCAGCUAGUUGGUGAGGUAAAGGCUCACCAAGGCGACGACGGGUAGCCGGCCUGAGAGGGUGACCGGCCACACUGGGACUGAGACACGGCCCAGACUCCUACGGGAGGCAGCAGUGGGGAAUAUUGCACAAUGGGCGCAAGCCUGAUGCAGCAACGCCGCGUGAGGGAUGACGGCCUUCGGGUUGUAAACCUCUUUUAGCAGGGAAGAAGCGAAAGUGACGGUACCUGCAGAAAAAGCACCGGCUAACUACGUGCCAGCAGCCGCCGCGG